AGUGAACGCUGGCGGCAGGCCUAACACAUGCAAGUCGAGCGGCAGCGGGUUCCCGCGAGGGGAUGCCGGCGAGCGGCGGACGGGUGAGGAACACAUCGGAAUCUGCCUGGUUGUGGGGGAUAACGUAGGGAAACUUACGCUAAUACCGCAUGAGACCCUGAGUCGACGGACUGGGGGUGAAAGUGAGGGACCUUCGGGCCUCACGCGACCAGAUGAGCCGAUGUCGGAUUAGCUAGUUGGCGGGGUAACGGCCCGCCAAGGCGACGAUCCGUAGCUGGUCUGAGAGGAUGAUCAGCCACACUGGGACUGAGACACGGCCCAGACUCCUACGGGAGGCAGCAGUGGGGAAUCUUGGACAAUGGGCGCAAGCCUGAUCCAGCCAUGCCGCGUGGGUGAAG
rnacentral:rRNA from 1 species